AAAAAAAAAAACCAAGCAAAAUCUAAAAAAUAUCGACAAAUUUCUACAAAACAAAUCCCUAAACUAUCAAAUCCCCAAAGAGUUGAGAAAAACAAAUCCCUAACAAAAUUUAGCAAAUUUCAACAACAAAUAUCCCUAGAGAAGACCAGAUCGAUGGUGAUUUGUUUGGGUUAGUGUUGAUGGACAACUUCUUCAAAUAAACAUGGUGAUUUGUUUGAUGGUGAACAAAAACUUAGGCGUCGCUAGAUCGCUUCUUCAUGCACCUGGAGCUUUGAUGCAAGGGUAGCACGAGAAUGAUCAAUAAACAGCAAGUGCAAAUAAUCGGGGAGAAGGGACAGUAAAGAAGUACAAGGGAAAGGGCAGUAGAAAUAAACAAAAGUAAUAUGAGGAAUAAGAAGAAGGGACGGUAGGUGAAGGAGCAGGCUGGCUGACGUGAUGGAUUGGGUUAGCAAAAAGAAACCAAAGAAGAAGGGGAAGGAGUAGGGGAGAGAAAGGUAGUGGGCUACGGGUAGCAUAAGCAUGAGGCAUUAGCACUUUGGCAGGGGCAGCAAAAAGGAGCA
rnacentral:misc_RNA from 1 species